rnacentral:rRNA from 1 species
UACAGAGGGGGCAAGCGUUAUUCAGAAUUAUUGGGCGUAAAGGGCGCGUAGGCGGCCUGGCAAGUGGAAGGUGAAAUCCCUCGGCUUAACCGAGGAACUGCCCUCCAAACUGCUUGGCUUGAGUCCGGGAGAGGUGAGUGGAAUUCCCAGUGUAGCGGUGAAAUGCGUAGAUAUCGGAAGGAACACCAGUGGCGAAAGCGGCUUCCUGGUCCGACACCGACGUUCAGGCACGAAAGCGUGGGGAGCAAACAGG